ACAGAUUUCUGUCACUUCAUUGAAUCGAAAGAGAAGUUUUCCUGACAUGAAACCUCAAUAUGAUAACCAUAAAUGACUGAUUGAAUGAUUAUAUAGGUGGUAAAAAACAAAGAUAUCGAUGAUCCUAAUGCGACAAUUUAGAACUUCGGUCCAGGAGAGUUGUCACAGCUUCAAACCAGGAUGACGUAGUCAAUUAUCCCAAACUAUUUAAAAUUGCCUUACUAUCACCACUCACUUUACAAUUAAAAGUAGUGUGAGUUGUCAUCCUGCUGCGUAACAUUAUUCAACCUCGAGUAAUCAAUAUCGUCGCCGAAACCAAUAUAGGACCAACUUAAUUCAAUUUAUACCUUGCCACAAAAACGUGUGGCCGGCUCUGCUAGUACUGUUAUAAAUGUGAACUAUCCUGGAAUAAUCUUUACAAUUUUUAACAUUUUAGUACAGUAGAAUCCGGUUAUUAUGACAUCGAAAGGAAUUGACAAACAUGUCAUAAUAAGCGGACGUCAUACAAAGCGUUUAGUGAAAUGAAAAACUUGUUUUAUGUAAAUAUGUAUGUACUUAAGUAUUUUAAUACAGAAACAUAGUAAUUAAAUAUGUAUACAUACAUAUUAAAUCAAAAUCAAAAUUACACGUAAUCUGUAAUUUUUGUCUGCUUUUGUGUUUUUCAUUUUAUUGUAAAAACAGUCUCUAAUACUAUUGUGUGUAGAAGACAUAGCUAUGGUCAAAGUAUCAUUUUCAAUAUUGCUGUGAACAAAUCAUGAUAAUAAUUCUGCAGCUUUUAAUGCCUCUUCGACUUCUUCUUCCCCAUCACUUUCGAGUUGUUUCUUAGCACUAAUGUUCUGUAUGAUAUUUUCAUUGGUGGGUUCUUCGGAUGUGAGUAGAACGCUAUCGUGAAUCCACCAUGUUUGAAACAGUUACGAAUGAUACUUUGUAACAUUUUAUUCCAGGCAUCAUUAACCAUCAGAAUUGCAUCCAGCACCGUUAUUUUUGUAGAAGAGUUGUUUUCAUUAGCAUCAAGACAGUUAAUCAAUUUGAGCACAAGGUUCUUCCUAAAAUUCGUUUUGAGUGAUCGUAUUAUUCUCUGAUUCAUUGGCUGCAGUAUUGAUGUUGUAUUCGGCGGAAGGAAAGAAAGUGUUAUAGACUAUACAUCAGUAACAUUUGGAUGCGUCGGGCAAUUAUCAACCAGCAAUAGAAUAUUUUUCUUCUUCUUCUUCACCAAAUCACGAUCCCAAUCACGAAGCCAUUUUUCAAAAAGUUCUGACGUCAUCCAAGCUUUACGAUUGUUAGCAUAAUCGACAGCUGCUACCAUGACAGUUAUUCUAUCUUUCGACUACUUACCUCCACUACAAUUUUCACUUUUAAAUUUUAAAGUUUUAUCCGGCAUUAAUUUGUGAAAAAUUCCAGCAUUAAAUAUCUCAUCAUCAGAAAAUUGUCUUCGUAAAUUCGGCCACACAGAUAUCAACCAGUUUGUAGUUGAAUUUUGAUCAACAGAGAAAUUCACCGACAAUUUAUCCCGCCACAAUGUUAUGUCGAACUUUAAAACGACUGAUCCAGCUUGCAGAACAAUUGAAGUCGAUAAUACCAAAACGCGCGGCAAAACCAUUUGCCUUUUCCUGUAGCAUAGGGCCGCUGACAGGUAUUCCUUUGUUUCUCAUGUUUUUAAACCACUGAAUUAAUAAUCAACAUUUUCUUGUGAUUUUCGAAGCCCCUUCGGUUUCAAAACAUUUGAAUUGAACGAUUGCUUAAUGCGGUUCUUGUUUUUAAAAAUCAUUGAGAUUUUCGAAUGACCCACGCCAAAUUCCUUUGCGAGACAUGAGUUAGAUUCUCUAUUUUCUAAUCUACAUAUUAUUGCACCUUUCUCCUCAAUUGUAAAUGCUUUACGUCGUUGUGAUGACAUUUUUUCACAGUAACAAACAAAAAACAAUGCGUGACCGUCAAGCGUCAAAACGACCACGUGUCGAACGGCGUCGGGAAUCAACGAACAUUGCCGGAGGUGUAAAGAAUCAGUUGUCAGUCAUUCUAACCGGACAUAAUUUAUUAAAAAUGGGUCAUAAUAAGCGACAUGUCACUGUAAGCGAAGUCAUUACAUCCGACUUUUUUAUAAAGAAUUUUAUAUGAAAACCAAACUUCGUAGAGUAAUUACGUCAUAGUAACCAGUUGGUCAAUAUAGGCGGAGUCAUAAUAAACGGAUUCUACUGUAUUGUCAUUUGUAAAGUAUAUUUCAAAAUGGUCCGCCAAACAAGUAUUGAAGGGUGCGAGUUAGUCCUAAAUAUUAUAAAAACGGAAAAAGUCAACGCCACGUCGCGUUAUUGGUGAAACUGAGUCAAGGCAUAUCAUUUAACUAUUCGGCAUAUCAUUUAAUGUUAUGUUCUUGAAAAGCGUGUCGCAAAUAAAAUUAAUUUACUCAUCUAUAUAUAUAAAAAUGAAACGCGUUUUCCGUUGUCACGACAUAGCAUGAAAACGGCUGGACCUAUUUCAUUAACUCUUUUUUGUGUGUAUUGAGGGAUUGAGGAUGGUUCUUACGGAGAGAAAAUUUAAAAAAAUUGCCUGAAAAAGUCUAAAAUUCAAAUUUUUCUAAUCUCCCAUACAAACAAUUUGUAUUCUAUAGAUAUAAAAACGAUUUGCUGUUCGUUAGUCUCGCAAAAAAUCGAGAACUGCCACACCGAUCUGGCUAAUUUUAGUCUUGAAAUAUUCGAGAAUGGCCAAGAAAGGUUUAGAAAGUAAGUAAAUAUAGAAAAAUUGCGCGGAAGAUUGCAAUAACAGAACUUUAUAUGAGUUGACAACAAAAUUUAAAAAAAAUAGAAAACAAAAAAUACUAAUAUUUUGAAUGUAGUCAUUGUUGCUUUGUUAAAAUAUUUUUGUCAUUGUACAAUUGUUAAGGAAAGGCUAUGUUUGGGUGCAACCGAACAUUUUAUACUCUCGGAAUUUAUUGAUGUAAUUUUAUUAAGAUAUUACACAUAAUACUGGCCCAUAUAUUCAUUAAGAAGAAUAGAAUAACGAAAAUCAUCAUAUAUUGUAUAUGAGGACCGUGGAAAAUCCUGAAACGAUUUCACUCAUUUUCACUAUCAAAGCAUAACGGGAAUAGGGGCAACUUGGCAACCUGUUAGUAGGCAAACAAAUUGCAAAUCAACGAAACAACAAUUUGCAAUUUCGCCAAAAAUAGCGCUAUAGCGAAGAUUCUCCAGAUAUGCAAGUUGAUAAUUUGGGAAGUACGGCGCAUAAAAAAGCACUUAUUUAUACAUACAAGUGUUUUUGCAACAAGAUCAAACUGCGAUUGUAGAAGCAGUUGCUAGAUAUUGGAAUUGUUAAGGUCACAGUUGACACCUCGAUGGAUUAAUAACAUUUCAAACAUAUUUCUGUCUCUUCUGUCACUUUCCGGACAUAAAACAACAAUAUAAUACCCAUAAUUGGCUAAGUGAACGACCAAUAUUGGUCGCAAAAAACAAAGAUGUCGUUGAUGUCAAUGCGACAAUUUAGAAUUUCGUUACAGGAGAGCUGACACAUAAACUAAUUAGGAUGACGUAGCCAACUAUCCUAAACGAAUUUUAUAAUCAUUGGAAUUGCCUGGAUUAUCACCACUUAAUUUUACAUUUAAAAGUAACAUCAGUUGUCAUCAUGCUGUAUAACAUAAAUCAACCUCGACUUUGGAAUGAACGAAGUGGAAAAAAAUCCUUGGAAAGAACAGUCAUCCCAAAACCACUAGAAGAAUGCUCAGAGAAGCUGAUUUAAAUGGCUGCACACCCCGAAAUAAACCAUACAUCAAUGCUAAAAUUCGAAGUGCGAGGUUGAAGGUUGCACACUAACAGUUAUAUAAGCCUGCAAGCUUCUGGAAUACAAAACCAAUUGCUGAAGUAUAACCGCAAAAUCUACGUAGUACCGUAAAACAUUAUGGAGAGUUUGUAAUGGUGUGGGGAUGCAUGUCGUCUUCUGGUGUCGGGAAUUCGGAAUUCAUCGAUUGUAAUAUGUACAAGAGUGUAUAAUUGGACAUUUUGAAAGGAAAUUUGCUACAAAAUGCGGCGAAAUUAAAUACUUUUGUUAACUUUCGGUACUAUCAAGAUAAAGAUACGAAGCACAUAUUUGGAGUUGUGCAAAGUAGGCUUAUUUGGAACUAUAUACUUACUUUAGUAUUUCAUGUACGGUUGCGUCACUUUGGCUGUGAGCUACUGCAUAUCAACCAAACUUACCACACACAUUCCUUUUAGUCUCCCAUUAUAAAUCAUGAAAAUGCGUGAAAUCGGUUAUAAACCUAAUUUAACAAAUAAAAUUUAAAAUUUGUCUACAUCGGACUAUAACUUUUCAAGGCCCCAAAUAUCGAACAUGAAGAUCUCAAUGUCAAUGAAUACUUCUUUAACGAAAAUAUCGAUAAAUCCCUCAGAUAUUUGAUAGAAAUUAAAAGAGCAUGUUUUUCUUCUAAUAAUGUGUCUGUACCAAAAAUGGUUAAAAUCAGGUGUUUACUUCCCCUAGAACCCAUAUUCCUUAAAUUAAGUUUUUGAACAUCCGGCGGGUAAGGGUUAAAUGAAGUUAACAUAUAUGAUAUUGCAUAUAUUGAAAUGUGUGUCAUGCAACAUAAUGAUCUGAUUCACUUUUUGCAAGUUAGGCAUAGACCUUGGCAAACUUCGCGACCACAACGACCAUGCGAUUAGAUUAAAAUAUUACGUUGUUGAUAUAGUAAAAUAUUGUGACUAAAUUCUUGAUUGCACCUGUUUUAAAUUCUUCAGCAUAUGAAAUCAUAGAGUUUUCUGCCAAAAUGUAUUUCCUUUAUUAUCCGCUUACAUAACAAUCGUUUAUAUUCAUAUUCAUGAGUUAAACUUAAUACUAUGAAUGAUCCUAAUUUAAUUUCUGUUUCAUAUUAUUUUCUCCAACUGGUUAAUGUUGCUUCCUAAUGAGACUUUUAAAUUAAUUUGAUUCAAAACUCUGUACAAUUUAAAGUGUAUAUGUAUAUAAGUAUAUUGAAUUACGUUCUACAAAUUAUUAGUUUAUUUUUUUCUUUUACCAUAAUAACUUUCACUUCGUUUCAUCGCUAAAUUCAUAUGUUAUAGUUUCUUAAUAGUAUUAUGUAUAUUGAUUAUUUAGUAAUUUCUUUUUAAUAUCGAUAAAUCGCGUAAUAUACUACAUCAGCGAUCCAUAUUAAGUUAAAUUAAAUUUCCAUGAUUUGUUCCUUAUUUUAAUAAUAAUAAUUGAAUCAUAUCUCAGUAUCUUAAGCAAAUGAAUUAAAGCAAGUGGUAUUUUCAUAAGUUUUCAAUUUAUUAUACAUUUAUGCAUGCCUGUUAUUUAAAUAGAUGUACAUAUACAUAAAUGCAGAUUACAAGUGUUCUUAUUUUCCUACAAUCGGAGUACCCAUUGAGAGAUCUUUACAUUUCACUAAAUUAAAUCCUAUUUAUAUUUGGGAAAGUAUAAGCAUACAAAUCCAACAUAUCAACGUCAAAUUUAUAUACCAGUAUUUUCGCAUGUAUUUUAAUAGGUGAAAAAGUAAACGUAGUACAGUUAGCAGAAUUUAACACAUUGCAUAUGUAAAAAAAUUAAAUUCUGUUGAUCCUAUAUUCAAACUGCUUUGUGUUUAGAAUGAAUCGCUCAAGAAAAUAAGAACACCUCUAAUACACAAAUUUCCAUAUAUUUUUAUUAUAAUUCUUAAUUCAUUAUUCUACAUUUAUUAGUUGAAUAUGUUAGAAUGUCUGAAUUUAAAUGCAUUUUCGUGUCAAAUGGCGACAUUGCAUCAAGUAUGUCAGUUACAACUAUGUAAAACUGAGUACUCACUACCAUUUAUAUAUGUAUGUAUAUUUCGGGGGUAUGCACAUAAGUAUGUAUUAAAUUUUGAGUAUUCCUCUGGAUAAUUGAUAUUUCCUUAUUAAAACAACUAAGACCUGGGUAUAGAUUUAAAGUAUACAAAAAUUCAUACGUCCUUUUAUUUCAAUGCAAAUAAAACAAAUAAAUAAUGCAAAAUAAAUGCUUUGAAGCUAUAAAAAUAUAAAAAAAGUAUUUGCAUACGUCGCACAUGCGUACGUUUGCACACAACAUGCAUUUUAUAAUAAAAUUUUGUACAUCUCAUAAUUGCAACGAAAUUGGGAUAACUUUGUUUAAUAUUCGUGCAUCUUAAAAUCCAAAACAAUUUAUGCUAAACUAACGCACCAUUGAAAUAUAUUUACAUGUUAUAAUUUCAUUUAGUGUAAUUUUACGGUAAAUUCCCAAGUAAAUUCAAUUUCAAAUAAUUAUCGCAAAUUUACAAUUAAUUGUUUUAUUUUGAAAAAUUUUUUUGUCUAUUCUAAACUACAAUUAAAAAUCCGAAUGGUUAUAAACCCAACAAUAGGAAUGUAUAAUUUAUCAACUGCGC